rnacentral:rRNA from 1 species
AGGGUUUGAUUCUGGCUCAGAUUGAACGCUGGCGGCGUGCUUAACACAUGCAAGUCGAACGCGAAAGUGGCUUCGGUCACGAGUAGAGUGGCGCACGGGUGAGUAACGCGUGGAUAAUCUGCCCUCAUAACCGGGAUAACAGUUGGAAACGGCUGCUAAUACCGGAUACGCUCUGAAUGAACUUUUAGGGGAAAGACGGCCUCUGCUUGCAAGCUGUCGUAUGAGGAUGAGUCCGCGUCCCAUUAGCUGGUUGGCGGGGUAACGGCCCACCAAGGCAACGAUGGGUAGCCGAUCUGAGAGGAUGAUCGGCCACACUGGAACUGAAACACGGUCCAG